UACGGGGGGGGCAAGCGUUGUUCGGAAUUACUGGGCGUAAAGAGCUCGUAGGCGGCCGGUUGCGUCUGCUGUGAAAUCCCGGGGCUUAACCCCGGGCGUGCAGUGGAUACGGGCUGGCUGGAGGCAGGCAGGGGAGAAUGGAAUUCCCGGUGUAGCGGUGAAAUGCGCAGAUAUCGGGAGGAACACCGGUGGCGAAGGCGGUUCUCUGGGCCUGUGCUGACGCUGAGGAGCGAAAGCGUGGGGAGCGAACAGG
rnacentral:rRNA from 1 species